AUUGAACGCUGGCGGCAUGCCUUACACAUGCAAGUCGAACGGUAACGCGGGGCAACCUGGCGACGAGUGGCGAACGGGUGAGUAAUACAUCGGAACGUGCCCAGUAGUGGGGGAUAGCCCGGCGAAAGCCGGAUUAAUACCGCAUACGACCUACGGGUGAAAGCAGGGGAUCGCAAGACCUUGCGCUAUUGGAGCGGCCGAUGUCAGAUUAGGUUGUUGGUGGGGUAAAAGCCUACCAAGCCGACGAUCUGUAGCUGGUCUGAGAGGACGACCAGCCACACUGGGACUGAGACACGGCCCAGACUCCUACGGGAGGCAGCAGUGGGGAAUUUUGGACAAUGGGCGCAAGCCUGAUCCAGCCAUGCCGCGUGCGGGAAGAAGGCCUUCGGGUUGUAAACCGCUUUUGUCAGGGAAGAAACGCUCUGGGCUAAUACCCCGGGGUAAUGACGGUACCUGAAGAAUAAGCACCGGCUAACUACGUG
rnacentral:rRNA from 1 species